GUCUAGGCCCGAAACGUCAGCUUUUGUGCUCCUGAGAUGCUGCUUGGCCUGCUGUGCUCAUCCAGCCUCACAUUUUAUUAUUUUAGGAGAGAGAGCUGUUUUGGUUUGUGAUACAAGAGUCGAGGCUGUCUAUACCUUUCACCCAUCGGUAGCUCUCCUCCUGUCCCUGCCUCUAUGCACACACUCUGCCAGGCACAGUCUUCCUCCCUCUGUGUGUGUGUGUGUGUGUGUGUGUGCGUCUGUCUCUCUCUCUCGCUUCAGCUCCUAAAACCUAAGAUGCAUCGGAUAUAAAAACACGCACAUAAACACACACGCACAUAAACACACACACACACACACACAUCAACAAGCCAUGGGGAAAGAUCAGGAAUUACGGCGAGCUGUCAAAACCGAAGAUGUAACUGCAAUGCAGAAGCUGUUGCAAAGGCCGAAACAAGGCAAAGCGAAUUCUGAUGUUGGUUCCUGGAAAGCCUCCAUUGUUGGAGGACGAGAAGCCGUAUCCACUUGAAGCAGCACAGGCUUCUGCGAUGACUGUGGAAACCACUGCUUAUGCCUUGCUUCAAGCAUUGUCAAGGAAUGAUAUUGACUAUGCAACACCGAUUGCGAGGUGGCUAACGAUGCAACAGAACUAUGGUGGUGGAUUUCACUCGACGCAGAACACAAUCAUUGCCUUGGAAGCUUCAUCAUGAUAUGACAUUGCAUUUCUGAAGAGGGAAGAAGAAAUCAACAUGCAAAUUCAAUUCCAUGGUUUUGGAAGUCCCAUUGAGAACACGAUUCAUGUGCGCUGGCAUAAUGCUCUGACCGAGAAAGAAUCGAAGCUUCCGCUUGGAAGAAAGAUUCACAUCAAGUUGACUGGUCAAGUAAAUGGGACCCUGACUAACCAUACAAUUAGACUGUUUUGAUGAGGAACUUAAAGAUUACGAGUCCCGUCCGUUUGACUCAGAGUUUGGUACCAUAGGUUGGUACGAUCUUCGUUGGAGAAGGAAAAGGGAUGUUCCAGAUACAGAAAAUAGUCAAACCAUUUACUACAAAGUCCGUUUCUGGGUGGAGUUAGUGGAACCGAAAAAGAUGUCUCCCUCACAGCGUUUGUGACAAAAGAGUUGCAUUGUUCCUUGGCGGCCUUCCAACAGAAGAAUAUUCAGAGAUUUCACGAGUGGUCCUUAUGGGAACAGGAAAAAUGACAAGCUGGAAAAUUUUGCAAGUAAUCUUUGGGCCAGCCUGGAAUCUUCCCAUCCUCUGGCCAUGACCUUGUGACCCUGCUUGGAGGUUGUAGUUACAGUUUCAGAAGUGAUCAAUUCCAGUGAGGAUGUCUGUACUAAGGUGAAAGCUCACGCACAGUUCUUCACGACGGGAAAAAUGGCUCCAUUCAGACUCUGGAGAUUCAGGUAUCCCACUGAGAAUCGUUGUCUCCUUCAUCAUUCACCUUAUUCCAGUCACCUGUCCUGCUCUGUGUGAUUUCUGUCCAUUCUCUCAGUCAUGCUUGUCUGAGGGGAUAGCCACGACUGUAGCCCUGUUGUUGACUUGUGCAGUAUCCUCACAGUCAGGGAAUGCUUCCCCAUUCCUGAGAGAUUUCAGCUGGCUUAAACAGCUCUGAAAACCACUAAACACUUUUACAAGAGUCAGCGGAAAUCCACUUGCAUCUAACCUGUAAGUCGUUGGUGAUAUCUCUAUCCUCACUGCACUGGAUGAAGAGAGGAUUGUAACUGGAAUACUGAGGUCAAAACAUAUACCAUUAGCAUCCAAGCAGCAUUACGCAUACUUCCAUCAGAAUGUGAAUCAGAUGACAGGGAUUAUACCUAGCACUUGGAGAACUGACAGAAACCCCAGGUUACCGUGUCGGGAAAGUUCCAGUGAAUGAAGUGCCAACCGAGCACUUACCAUUCGGGGGCAGUCUGUGGCUAAAACCCCACUCACUGAGAGAUGCUGGCCAAACAGAGACUAGUGUCUCGCCAUUGCAGGUGGUGCCACCAGGAAGGGUGGCUGAUGCUGGUACUGCAAUUAAUCCAAUGCUAUUAGUGAGUCAUGAACAAAUUGGGGUCGUGGGAGAGGUUUUCUGGCCAGGGAAUCAGGAGGUUGUAAGAAAAGGUAGUCAGGUGCUAUCUGUUUGCCAUCGCUACUAAUAUGGCAUGGCGGAUCAAUGGUUAGCACUGCUGCCUCACAGCUCCAGGGACCCAGGUUCAAUUCCAACCUCAGGUGACUGUCUGUGUGGAGUUUGCACAUUCUGUAUAUGUCUGCAUGGGUUUCCUCUGGGUGCUCCAGUUUCCUCCCACAGUCCAAAGAUGUGCAGGUUAGAUGGCUUGGCCAUGCUAAGUUGCUAAGAGUGUCCAGGUAUGUGUGGGUUAGGUGGGUUAUAGUGGAAUGGGUGUGGGUGGAAUGCUGCAAAGGUCAAUGUUGGGUCAAAGGGUCUGAUUGUACACUGUAGGGAUUCUAUAAUUAAGAGUUUUACUUCUCAAACUUUCUGUGUGAUAUUUGUUCAGCCUCAGUUAUUAAUUGCCCACUCAGGGGAGUAAAGACCAUUUACCAGCCUUCCCAAUCGAGACUGCAUCAGGGUAAAACUUGAAAGACAGUCAGGUCUGUACUUACACUCUCCAGCUCAAACCCCGCAUAAAGAGAGGGGUGUUAAAUUCUACCCGUCAUGUACAAAAUCCAGCACCUACGUGAUUGCCUGCAAAAAUGCCAUCCAUCACUGCCCACAACAGAAGAGUGAACCUGGCAGAAACGCAGAAUUGCUACAACGCAGAAGGAAGACAUUCAGCCCAUCAUACUUGCCAAGCUCUCUGAGCACUCUAAUUUAAGGCCAAUCUUCUACCUUUUUCCAAAAACCCUGCAUGUAUUUUUUUUUCUGUUUAAGUAACCAUCCCUCUUGCGUGCCUUCACCGAAUCUGCCACCACCACAUUUCCGGGCAGUGGAUUCCAGGCCCAGAUCACUCACUGGCUGAAUAAAGUAUUUUUUCUCACUG